UACAGAGGUCCCAAGCGUUGUUCGGAUUCAUUGGGCGUAAGGUGCGUAGGCGGCGCGGUAAGUCGGGUGUGAAUCUCGGAGCUUAACUCCGAACUGCAAUUCGAUACUGCCGGUGCUUGAGGCUGGAGAGGAGACUGGAAUUUACGGUGUAGCGGUGAAAUGCGUAGAUAUCGGGAGGAACACCUGAGGCGAAGGCGGGCUGAC
rnacentral:rRNA from 1 species